rnacentral:rRNA from 1 species
UACGGGGGGAGCAAGCGUUGUUCGGAAUUACUGGGCGUAAAGGGCGCGUAGGCGGCCUGUUAAGUCGAACGUGAAAUCCCUGGGCUCAACCCAGGAACUGCGUCCGAUACUGGCAGGCUUGAAUCCGGGAGAGGGAUGUGGAAUUCCAGGUGUAGCGGUGAAAUGCGCAGAUAUCAGGAGGAACACCGGUGGCGAAGGCGGGUCUCUGGGCCGAUACUGACGCUGAGGAGCGAAAGCGUGGGGAGCGAACAGG